rnacentral:lncRNA from 1 species
AGUGGAUAGUCAAUAAUUGCUGCAAGGCACAGCUAUCCUCCAAGGAAAUUGUUCCAGACUUAGAAUGUUAAAGAUAUUUGCUCGAAGGAGUUUGUAUUUCAGAUAAGUAGACUUGCUCAAGGAUAAACAACAACAUUGAAGUUACGCAAUUGAAAAAUCAUUCCAAAGUUUAAGAGGUUCAUAGAUUUCUUGAUGUAUUACUAAGGUUCAUUUUAAAGGUUUCGACUGAUAUUUGUGUGCUAUAAAAGAGACACAAAUAGUACACAUUUACAACAUUGAAGUUAUUCAAUUGAAAAAUCAUUCCAAAGUUUAAGAGGUUUAUAGAUUUCUUGAUAUAUUACUGAGGUU